GACGAACGCUGGCGGCGUGCCUAACACAUGCAAGUCGAGCGAUGAUGUUCCUUCGGGAACUGAUUAGCGGCGGACGGGUGAGUAACACGUGGGCAACCUGCCUUGUAGUGGGGAAUAGCCUUUCGAAAGGAAGAUUAAUACCCCAUAAUAUUUCAGUUUCGCAUGAAGCAGAAAUUAAAGGAGCAAUCCGCUACAAGACGGGCCCGCGUCGCAUUAGCUAGUUGGUAAGGUAAUGGCUUACCAAGGCGACGAUGCGUAGCCAACCUGAGAGGGUGAUCGGCCACAUUGGGACUGAGACACGGCCCAGACUCCUACGGGAGGCAGCAGUGGGGAAUAUUGCACAAUGGGGGAAACCCUGAUGCAGCAACGCCGCGUGAGUGAUGACGGCCUUCGGGUUGUAAAGCUCUGUCUUUGGGGACGAUAAUGACGGUACCCAAGGAGGAAGCCACGGCUAACUACGUGCCAGCAGCCGCCGUAAAAC
rnacentral:rRNA from 1 species